rnacentral:rRNA from 1 species
GGGUUUUGGGGUUGAACAACCUCGACCUAUUCUCAAACUUUGAAUUGGUAAAAGAAGAGGGCUUGUUUAGCGAAAGCGGCUCUUGCAACGUUGGGGUCCUAGUGGGCCAUUUUUGGUAAGCAGAACUGGCGAUGCGGGAUGAACCGAAAGCUGCAGUUAAGGAACCGAAGCAGAGGCUCAUUGGACUAAUCAAAAAGGUGUUGGUUUUUACAGACAGCAGGACGGUGGCCAUGGAAGUCGGAACCCGCUAAGGAGUGUGUAACAACUCACCUGCCGAAAAGAGUAGCCCUUAAAAUGGAUGGUUUUCUUGCCUUGCUCCUAGACUGCGCGGCCAACAUAUGAUGUGUUGGCCUGUAGGUGGAUGUGAGGAUUGUGUGGAAGAAUGGGGGUGACCCUGUUUGGAACGGUCCUUAGUACAGAUCUUGGUGGAAGUAGCAAAUAUUCAAUUGAGAAGGACGCAGAUGAAUUGAAGACUGAAAGUGGAGAAAGGUUCCGUGUGAACUGCAGUAGGACACGGGUGAGUCGGUCCUAAGGAGGGUGCCGGAAGGUUACUAGAUAAGAUUGUGGACGGCGCAGCAAUGUGGUGUCCAGGACCUCCGAAAGGGAAUUUGGGUUAAUAUUCCAAAACCGGUGCGCGCAUUUGAGAUGGAGAAUGGCAACAUUGUGUUGGGGCCAAUGCGAGACGGCUGGGCGUGAUUCAGGAAGAGUUAGAUUUGCUUUUCUUUUUAAUCUGCUGGGCGCAUGGUGGAAUUCUGUUAAAGAGAGAAACCAUGCGGGGCGGACAAGAAGCGCGCUCGUAGGAGUGUGCUCUGGAGCUUACGCCAAGUCCCUUGAAAAUCGGAUUGGUUUCUGUGAAGGGUGAUGGGCACUGGCCGUACUGUAAACCGCAUCAGGUCUCCAAGGUGAAGAGCCUCUAGUGAUAGAAGAAUGUAUGAUAAG